GGGGUUGUGACUCAGUGGUAGAGCACUUGCCUCACACGUGUGAGGCACUGGGUUCAAUUCCCAGAACCACA
rnacentral:tRNA from 1 species